rnacentral:rRNA from 1 species
AUGGCGCUGAUGGAUGCACUGUACAGGGGCGCCGCCGCCACUGAGCUGGCCACCGGCUUUUGCCUGUCGUGCUGCCGCGACGGGCACUCCCUCCUCGGCUUUGCCAGGGUCCUCCUGCCCUGCGUUUAUGUGCUGCUCCUCGUCAUCAUCUCCGUGGGCAAUGCCCUUGAACCCCAUUCUCCAACCAUCUGGCAGCGUGCUGGACGUCGUCCUCCUCGACGCAGCCGUCCCCGACGAGCUCUCUUUGUCGGAGGAGGUGGGGCAGCAAGGCCUCCUAUCCUCCAGCGCGUGGACCGACGGCUGAGUCCUCCUGCUCUCCUAGCGUGA